CGGAAUUACCUAUGGUAAUUGGUAGAGGAGCAUUCUGUAAGGAUGAAGCACAAUUGAAAGAGAGUGUGGACGAAACAGAAGAGAGAAUGCCGGAAUGAGUAGCGAGAUAUAUGUGAGAAUCAUAUAGGUCGAAUGUCUAAGGUUUCCUGGGUAAAGCUGAUCUGCUCAGGGUAAGUCGGGACCUAAGGUGAGGGCGAGAGCCGUAAUCGAUGGACAACAGGUAGAAAUUCCUGUACUACGUAUAAUCAGAACUGUGGGGACGCAGGAGGAUAGGAAAACCGGAGAAUGGAAAAAUCCGGCUAAGUACAAAGGUGUGAGUGAUAGGCAAAUCCGUCACUAUUAGCUGAAGUACGAAUGGGAGCGAAGAAAAGUAGCGAAGUUUCUGAAUCCACACUGUCAAGAAAAGCCGCUAUUGCGUUAUACGUACCCGUACCGCAAACCGACACAGGUAGACGAGGAGAAAAUCCACAGACCGACGGGAGAAGUGUUGUUAAGGAACUCGGCAAAAUGACUCCGUAACUUAGGGAUAAGGGGAGCCAACGCAAGUUGGUCACAGAAAAGAGGCUCAAGCGACUGUUUAGCAAAAACAUAGGUCUAUGCGAAACCGUAAGGUGAUGUAUAUGGGCUGACACCUGCCCGGUGCUGGAAGGUCAAAAGGAGAGGUUAGCGUAAGCGAAGCUUUGAAUUCAAGCCCCAGUAAACGGCGGCCGUAACUAUAACGGUCCUAAGGUAGCGAAAUUCCUUGUCAGGUAAGUUCUGACCCGCACGAAAGGUGUAACGAUUUGAGCACUGUCUCGACAACACGCCCGGUGAAAUUGAAGAACCAGUGAAGAUACUGGUUACCCGCAACAGGACGGAAAGACCCCAUGGAGCUUUACUGCAGCUUAAUAUUGGGAUUCGGUAUUGUAUGUACAGGAUAGGAGGGAGACUAAGAAGCUAGCACGCCAGUGUUGGUGGAGUCGAUGGUGGGAUACCUCUCUUAUAAUACUGAAUUUCUAACCUACUUCCGUGAUCCGGAAGAGGGACAUUGUUAGGCGGGCAGUUUGACUGGGGCGGUCGCCUCCGAAAGAGUAACGGAGGCGCUCAAAGGUCUUCUCAGAAUGAUUGGAAACCAUUCAAAGAGUGUAAAGGCAAAAGAAGGCUUGACUGCGAGAGUGACAACUCGAGCAGGUACGAAAGUAGGACUUAGUGAUCCGG
rnacentral:rRNA from 1 species